AAAGCCACCCAGUCUAUUUUCUUUCCAUGUCUCUGUGUUCUCCCAUUGCAGCUGAGAACCAACCAAACUCCAUCAUCUAAGUGGGAUCUUCAACAUGGUCUACCUUAAAAAGCAGCCUGUGCCAGUGGGGAGUAGGGAACCACUACAGUGAAUUGGGGUAGAAGAAUUUGCUGCUCAAGAUCUGCCAUCUUCUGGGGGUGAAUCCUCCCACAGAGAGAGUCAACUGAACUUUCAGAAGUUGCACCUCUGCAGCUUGGUGAGAGAUGGAGGAGGCAGUUGGCUCUGCAGACUGAUGCUACAAGUGGGCUUCUACAUGGUGUUGUGGACCAUGGACACACCUGACACCGAGUUCUCCCUGUGGACAGC